GACGUAGGGCGCGAGCGUUGUCCGGAUUUAUUGGGCGUAAAGAGCUCGUAGGCGGCUUGUCGCGUCUGCUGUGAAAACUGGGGGCUCAACCCCCAGCCUGCAGUGGGUACGGGCAGACUAGAGUGCGGUAGGGGAGAUUGGAAUUCCUGGUGUAGCGGUGGAAUGCGCAGAUAUCAGGAGGAACACCGAUGGCGAAGGCAGGUCACUGGGCCGCAACUGACGCUGAGGAGCGAAAGCAUGGGGAGCGAACAGG
rnacentral:rRNA from 1 species